rnacentral:rRNA from 1 species
UUGGUGGGGUAACGGCCUACCAAGGCGACGAUCAGUAGCCGGCCUGAGAGGGUGAACGGCCACACUGGGACUGAGACACGGCCCAGACUCCUACGGGAGGCAGCAGUGGGGAAUCUUCCGCAAUGGACGCAAGUCUGACGGAGCAACGCCGCGUGUAUGAAGAAGGCCUUCGAGUUGUAAAAUACUGUUGUUAGGGAAGAACCGGUUAUGUGAGAAUAUUGCAUGGCCCUGACGGUACCUAACGAGGAAGCCCCGGCUAACUACGUGCCAGCAGCCGCGGUAAUACGUAGGGGGCGAGCGUUGUCCGGAAUUAUUGGGCGUAAAGGGCGCGUAGGCGGCUUAUCAAGUCUGAUGUGAAAGUGCGGGGCUUAACCCCGUAAAGCAUUGGAAACUGGUAAGCUUGAGGGCAGGAGAGGAAAGUGGAAUUCCUAGUGUAGCGGUGAAAUGCGUAGAGAUUAGGAGGAACACCAGUGGCGAAGGCGACUUUCUGGACUGCACCUGACGCUGAGGCGCGAAAGCGUGGGUAGCGAACAGGAUUAGAUACCCUGGUAGUCCACGCCGUAAACGAUGAGUGCUAGGUGUAGAGGGUAUCGACCCCUUCUGU